GAGGGAGUGGUCUCGGUUUGGCCCUCAGUCUGGAGUCACAGUCUGGAUUCACAGGCAGCGCAGAGAGAUGUUGGCUCAGGACCUGAGGCUGAGGCGUGCUGGGACAGCCUAGGGGGUGUCCUGGCUUUCCAGGGGCUGGGGAACCCUCUCUGGCCCGGGGGCGGGAGAAGCUGUUCCAGAAUCGGUUCUGGCUCCACUGCCACCUCAGCACUUUCUAAUUGCAGCUCCAAACAGCCGCAGCUGCAGUCAUAGCAACAGGCCCCGCCCACCGGGCUUCGCUCCUGGCGUCCAGCACGUGACGGCGACGCCUGCGUCGCUCCCUCAGCCCCUGGCGCUAAGGGAGGCGGGGAAGUGUGGGGGGAUGACGUUUACUCUGUCGUCUCCAUGGAUAUAAUGCAUAGACGUCAACGUCGCCAGUGUUUGGUGUGUAACGUUCUUCCGUCUCCAUGGGAACGUCAGGCGGCCAAACACCGGGCCCCAGCAACAGGCUUCUGAUUGGCCCGAGGCUUCCAAAGGCGGAGCUUCGUCUCCCGCGCCCGCUCGACUGUGUUGCUGUUUUGGUUGUUGUCUCCCACUUGUUUAUUUCUCUAACAGAUCCUGGAGGCUGAGGUCUAGAUCGGUCGCCAAGGAUGGGAUCCAGGAGAAAACGUGCUGAACGUGCAGCUUGCUCCUACCGAUUACAGCCCAGCAGAUGACAUAGUUCCACUGUGCUCUAGUCCAUUGUGGGAAUUAUGGCCCUCAUGCCCGGCGUCUGUCACAACCCAAUAUUUGGUGUUAUAACCCCUGCUCCCACCCCCCAGCACAUCUCAGAAGUGCCGUUACCCUCUCAGUCACAUCCCAGAAACUGUGUUGCCUUCACGGUUACUCUUGUUUAUGCUUGAGAGCACUCGGAGGCCUUUCCAUAUCUAAAGCCUGCAUUCAGUGCUACCCCCUGCAGGAUUUGGAUACAUUUCCCCGUCUGGUCCUAAUUCUGUUGAAUGACAUCAUUUAUCCGUAUUCCCACCCAGAGAUGGGCAGAUUUCUUGUAACCUGAAUAGAUACCAAAGAAUCCCAAAGGACCUGGGUGGGUACUUCUAUUUAUGGGCUCAUUGGAUCUUAUUCUUUCCUCUCCGCCUGUUUUAAUUCAAAUCGGGGGGACCAUUUGAUUUCUCCAAUAGAAACAGAAAGAAAUUGAAGACAGAGAUGAACACAGAUCAAGAGCCCAGGUUUCUUGAUAUCUAAUACUAAUAUACUGAUGGAGUUAAACAUUCCAAGGAAUAUAGCAUGUCUUGGUCUCUGAGAGCCAAUAUAUCUGGGUUACACUGAAAGAGGAAUAACGAGAUAAUAUUUACACUGUACAUUGAAGAUGACCUGAAAAGCUGGAAGAGGUGACUGAGGGCAUUUUCUCAGUGUGGAUGAAGAAGAGGGGAGGAAGCUCAGACAGACAUCAGCUGGAUGAAGCCCCAGGUUCAAACAAACUUGCCUUGGAUAUCAAAGUACUAGUAGCAAAGGAACUCCCAAUUCCUCACCUGCUGUGAAGUUUCCCAUUCACUGCAAGCAAAGUCCAGGUGAAAGCAAAGAUUCUUCACCCGCAGAAACCCUCUGGGCAGGUAACUCAUGAUGUAUUCCCAGCCACCUGAUGAAUCUGGAGAAAGGAAUAGAAUGGUUCUGCCAAAUGAUUUAAAUGAAGAAUCCUGUGGGCCCAGCCCAGCCCUCUAUGCUAACCAAUCUGAAGCCGGCAGGUGUGUGGUGUUCUGUUUAUAGCUGCCAGAUCAGCUCCUGUUGUAGGUUCUAUAUGCUGGCCUCAGCUGAGCCUGUGGUAUGUGAGCACAGUUCUGUGCGAUCCAAACAAUUGACAAAUACUGACCUGGCCCCAGCCACGUGCCCAGUCAUUGCUGGGCUGCCCAAGAAACCAACUAAGCACAUUCUGGGGCAGGGGUGGGGGGCAUUCAAGAAAGAAAUCAGAAAGCUGUAUUCAUUAUUCUAUUGACUGAAGGCUUAGUAUUGUGUCAGGCACUGAUCUGGCAACGGGGAAACAGUAAUGUCUCUUUCCCUCAUGGAACUUAC
rnacentral:lncRNA from 1 species